rnacentral:rRNA from 1 species
AUGAACGCUGGCGGCGUGCCUAAUCCCUGCAAGCCGAGCGAACAGAUGAGGAGCUUGCUCCUCUGACGUUAGCGGCGGACGGGUGAGUAACACGUGGAUAACCUACCUAUAAGACUGGGAUAACUUCGGGAAACCGGAGCUAAUACCGGAUAAUAUAUUGAACCGCAUGGUUCAAUAGUGAAAGACGGUUUUGCUGUCACUUAUAGAUGGAUCCGCGCCGCAUUAGCUAGUUGGUAAGGUAACGGCUUACCAAGGCAACGAUGCGUAGCCGACCUGAGAGGGUGAUCGGCCACACUGGAACUGAGACACGGUCCAGACUCCUACGGGAGGCAGCAGUAGGGAAUCUUCCGCAAUGGGCGAAAGCUUGACGGAGCAACGCCGCGUGAGUGAUGAAGGUCUUCGGAUCGUAAAACUCUGUUAUUAGGGAAGAACAAAUGUGUAAGUAACUAUGCACGUCUUGACGGUACCUAAUCAGAAAGCCACGGCUAACUACGUG